CAUGCAAGUCGAGCGGUAACAGACAUAAAGAUUCAGCUUGCUGAAUCCGGUGCUGACGAGCGGCGAACGGGUGAGUAACGCGUAGGAAUCUACCCAGUAGCGGGGGAUAGCCCGAGGAAACUCGGAUUAAUACCGCAUACGCCCUGAGGGGGAAAGGGGGCAGUUUACUGCUCUCACUAUUGGAUGAGCCUGCGUAAGAUUAGCUUGUUGGUGGGGUAAUGGCCUACCAAGGCGACGAUCUUUAGCUGGUCUGAGAGGACGAUCAGCCACAUUGGGACUGAGACACGGCCCAGACAUCUACGGAUGGCAGCAGUUAAGAAUAUUGGACAAUGGGGGCAACCCUGAUCCAGGUAUACCGCGUGUGUGAAGAAGGCCCUAGGGUUGUAAAGCACUUUAAUCAGAGAAGAAGCAUUUUAAGUUAAUACCUUAAUAUGUUGACGUUACCUGAAGAAUAAGGACCGGCUAACUCCGUGCCAGCAGCCGCGGUAAUACGGAGGGUCCAAGCGUUAAUCGGAAUUACUGGGCGUAAAGCGCGCGUAGGCGGUUUAGCAAGUUGUAUGUGAAAGCCCUGGGCUCAACCUAGGAACUGCAUCCAAAACUACUAAGCUAGAGUACGAGAGAGGAGAGUAGAAUUUCUGGUGUAGCGGUGAAAUGCGUAGAUAUCAGAAGGAAUACCAAUGGCGAAGGCAGCUCUCUGGCUCGUCACUGACGCUGAGGUGCGAAAGCGUGGGUAGCAAACAGGAUUAGAUACCCUGGUAGUCCACGCCGUAAACGAUGAGAACUAGCCGUUGGGCAGAUUUAACUGUUCAGUGGCACAGCUAACGCAUUAAGUUCUCCGCCU
rnacentral:rRNA from 1 species